UGAGAUCAAGAUAUGCAAAAUACACACGGAUCUGAACAUUUCUGAUCCGUUGACAAAACCACUCCCGCAGGCUAAGCAUGAUGCGCAUGUAAGAGCUAUGGGUAUUAGGUACCUUCUAGAUUGACUCUAGUGCAAGUGGGAGACUGUUGGAGAUAUGCCCUAGAGGCAAUCAUAGAGAUGAUGAUAUUCCAUUUGUAUCCAUGAUUUGUAUGUUGUGUUCAUUGAAUAUCCAUUGAAGGCUACUUGAAUUGAUUUGCAAUUAUGUGAAUUGUAUGUGAAACUCUUUACUUGUAUGGUUAUUCUAAAGUUGUCCCUAGUCGGAGUUCAUAUGAGGACACACAUGAAUAUUAGACUAGCACAUGUAUUAGUUGAUGACUAUGUUUCACAAGUCAUGGACAUGGAGAUGUUGAACUAAUAAUGUGGACACAUGUGGAGACAUGUGCUAGGACUGACCCAACACGAGAAGUAGUUCUCUCUUUAAAACAACAUAUACGCUUUGUCCUUAGACCUGAGAUUGUCACAUGUAUUCUAGAUGUGGAUCGACCUACUUAGGGGCUAUCAAACGCUACGCCAUAACAGGGUAGCUAUAAAGGUAGCUUUCGGGUUUGUCAAGAAGCAUGCUAUGAGACAUGGUCAAUCAAGAUGGGAUUUGCCCCUCUCUGAUUGAGAGUGAUAUCUCUGGGCCCCUCGAGUGAUCGGAUCUGAAAAUGCAUGGCCAUGCUACGUACGGUUAAGAGUUAACCUACAAAGGGAUUCCGAAUCACAGGAUCGAGAAAGAGCGGUCGGCUUGAAGCUAGACCAAAUAUCGUGAGGCAAAGGGAAUAGCAUGUAUAUUAUGUUGUGAUGGUUCGUCUGAUAUGAUCUUCGUGUGCAUAUAGGAGUUGGCACGUCUUGCUAGAGGCCGCCACUAACUAUUGGGCUGAGUAGGAGUACUCGGGCCAUGUCUAUACGUAUCCAAACCCAUAGGGUCACACACUUAAGGGGCUGGAAGCCCAAUUCGGAUCUGAUCCGAGUUGGAUUAGGUUUAUAGGUACUAAUGGGCCUCGGAUCCAGAGGCCCGUCAGGAACCUCUAUAAAUAGAGGGGUGGGGGCGCCCUAGGGUUUACACCUUUUGGCGAAACACACCUGCCGCGCCUCCCACACCCUCGCCUGUUGCAACUCGUGGAUCUAGCAAUUCCGGCUUGCGACGCAUCCUCCCUGCACGUGUGGAUACCUUGGAGGUGUUGCGCCUGCAGCACUUGGACGAGCCGCCGAUGAGCCACGACGAGCCGACGACGAGCCGCGGUACCGGAGGCGAUCUUGCUGUACGUGGACGAGCUGCUGAGGAGCUGCUGGACGUGAUCGACUAUGUACGACUACGUGAUCGUCUUCACUGCAUCGACGCAUAUCUACAUCUUUCCAGUCCAUAUCUCAUAUGGUGUCUUAACUACGGAUUUAGAUGGUACCCUAUUAAGUGUGAAAGCUGCUGUUUCUAGAGCGUAUCCCCAAAAUGACAACGGUAGGUCCGACUGGCUCAUCAUUGAUUGAACCAUGUCUAACAAAGUUCGAUUACGUCGCUCGGACACACCGUUUCUCUGAGGUGUUCCAGGCGGCGUAAGUUGUGGAACAAUUCCGCAACUCUUUAGAUGAUUGCUAAACUCGUGGCUCAAAUACUCGCCUCCACGAUCAGAUCGUAAGGCCUUAAUUUUCUUGCCACGCUGAUUUUCAACUUCAUUCUGAAAUUCCUUGAACUUUUCAAAGGUUUCAGACUUGUGCCUCAUCAAGUAGACAUAGCCAUAUCUACUAAAAUCAUCAGUGAAAGUUAUGAAGUAUUGGAAUCCUCCUCUAGCCGUCGUGCUCAUUGGUCCGCAUACAUCACUAUGUACGAGUUCCAACAAGUCUACUGCUCUCUCAGGAAAUCCUGUGAAAGGCGUCUUGGUCAUCUUGCCUAGCAAGCAAGCCUCACAUGUCUCGUAUGAUUCAAAAUCAAACAAAGUUAGAAGUCCAUCAGAAUGGAGCUUCUUCAUGCGCUUUUCACUUAUAUGACCCAAACGACAAUGCCACAAGUAGGUAGGACUCAAAUCAUUAGGCCGAGGCCUUUUAGCACUUACAUUACAGACAGGUGAACCAUCAAGAUUUAAAACAAAUAAUCCAUUCACAAUGGGUGCAAAAGCCAUAAACAUAUUAUUCUUAGAGAUCACACAACCAUUGUUUUCACUCGCAAAUGAAUAACCAUCCUUCAUCAAGCAUGAAGGAUACAAAAUGUUUCGACUAACAAAAUAACAAUUAUUCAACUCCAUAAUAAUUCCUGACAGGAGGUGGAGUUGCAUCGUCCCGACGGUCAACGCAGCAACUCUUACAUUAUUGCCCACGCGGAAAUCAACUUCUCCUCUUUCCACGCUUCUAGUUCUUAUCAUUCCCUGCAUCGAAUUGCAAAUAUGAGCAACCGAUCCGGUAUCAAAUACCCAAGAAUUAAUAAUUGUAUCAGCGAGAAAUAUGUUGUCUAUAACAUUAACAACAAGCGUACCUGAGGUAGAAGUACUCUUACUUCCGCCAUUCUUCAAGGAAGCUAGGUACUGCUUGCAGUUUCUCUUCCAGUGACCAAGUUCAUGACAGUAAAAGCACUCUUUGUUUGGAGUAGGUCCAGGUCCAGCUUUAACCUUGGGCGGUGGGUUUGGCUUGGACGUUCCAGCCUUGCCCUUCUUCUUCUAAGAAUUGCCCUUCUUCUUAAAGCUAGGCUUGUUCUGUAUCGCCAUCACAUGGCUGGUACUAGCGCUUUUCUUGAUGUCAGCCUCUGCUAUUUUAAGCAUGCCACACAGCUCAUUCAGACCCUUCUCCGUCCCAUGCAUAUGGUAGUUCGAGAUGAAGUUCCCAUAGCUAGGCGGAAGAGACGAAAGAAUGAAAUCAGUGGCCAACUCUUGGCCCACUGGGAAGCCCAGCUUCUCCAACCGUUGAGUGUAACCAACCAUCUUGAUUACGUGUGGUCCUACUGCUGCGCCUUCUGCUAGCUUGCUCUCAACAAAGGCCUUAGACACAUUGAACCUUUCAGUCCUGGCCUGUGUUUGGAACAUGUCUCUAAGCGCCACAAUCAUAUCAUGCGCCUCAUGGUUUGUUUCAAACUGCAUCUGCAGCUCCGGUUCCAUGCAAGCAAGCAUAAGGCAGCUUACUUCGAGGUUAGCAUCACAUGCUUUCUUGUAAGCAUUCUUAGCAGCAGCGGGUGCAUCAUCAGCAGAUUCUUCUGGUAGUGGGUUGUCUAGAAUAUCUUCCUUUUUCUCAGCCCUGAGAACAAUUCUCAGGUUACGGAUCCAAUCCGAGUAAUUUGUUCCAUUCAACUUGUCCUUCUCAAGGACCGAACGCAAAGCAAACGGUGUAGUGCUGCUAGGUGCCAUUUAAUCUACAACAAAAGUAAUGCAAAAUACACUAAGACAAACGUAUCCAUGAUAGAGCAAAUUACAUUAAACUAUUUUAACAGAAUCUACUCCCACUAAAAUCAAUAUCCCUCUAUUGAAACUUAGUGAUUCAGGAUCCACAACUUACAAGUCCACUAGUGAGCUUUAGCAUCACCGCUAGCAAACGAGGUAGAUCGGUAAGCAACUUUUGCUAAUCAUAUCACAUAUGACUCCUGUUGUUGGGUCACAUCUCUAUGUCUCGGCGCCCAACCUUUAUGCCCCAAGGUCCUUAACCGUUAAGAUAACCUUGUUAAGCAAACCAACCCUUAUGUGUGUAAGUGUCCAACACAAACCCGUCUAGUCAAGGAAAACUAGUGGCACCCUAAUUUCAUAGACCCACCACUAAUUGUACAAGACAUGGGACGGUGCAAGUUUUAGUUGGGAGGGCAUACUAACUUAAACUUCGUGAGGGAUCGUUCUACUUCUAACAUCACAGCAUGCAGAAAGUAAAACAUAAACAGAAUAGCAUUCACACAGCUUGUGACACAGUAUGGCCCGUCUUCAUAUGGUGAUCUCCAUCUCCAUGUUCCAUGUGCGCCCUCCUCCUGGUGAUGAGUCCUCCAAGAACUAGAGCAUGCUAUUACGACUAAUAGCUAGUAAAGAAUCUAGUAAUGAAGAUUACAUAGUUGCUUGGAUCAUCACAGAUUGGUACGCAGACCAUUAAAUACAAUAAAGUGACAACACAUAUGGCUCCUGCCGUGUUACUGUACGCGCGACACGCAGGUCAUGAAUGAGUUACACACAUGCAUCACAUACACAAGGGGGCCAUACUGAUCACAAGAUACAUACAUACAUCCUGCAAAACAGAGUUAGGCGUCCUAACGUUCCAAACUUCGGAGGCCCGAAACUCCAUCUUCCAAGCCGAAUUUGGGAAAUCUAAUUUCGCCGAAAAUGGCAAAGCCGUUGAAUUUCAUGUGUAACUUCUUAUGUAGAUCAAUUUUCAUAUAAAAUUCGCCCCAUUCCGAGAUCGUACCGAAAAGUUACGGCUGAUUUACCGAAGCAUACGCAUACGGCAAAAAUCCCGACCCCGGCAGUAGAUCCCAUCUACUAUUGCACAUCUAAUGCGCCUGGCGUAUGACCCUGGAUUUCGAUUUGACCAAUCAUAUUGAUCUUCCCUCACUGCAACUGGAUUUACGUGUAUCACUUAACUCCGAUGGAGGAAACCGACUGGUAGGAGUAUGUCGUUACACUACCAUUGCAGCAAGGGCACGAAAACAGGACAUAGAUCAAACGGAAAACUCGCAUAUCUCCAUAUGCACACAUCCCGAAUCCAAAACUAAGCAGCUACAGCUCUGAUACCACUGUUGGGAUACGAGGUAGGCUACACUAGCGCAAUUCAAAAAAUUCUACCGCGUAUAACCAGGAAGAACUGCCGUAUAAGGAUCACAGGAUUACCACUCAACGCACUACUGGUGCGGAAGAUGUAGAUAUGCGUCGAUGCAGUGAAGACGAUCACGUAGUCGUACGUAGUCGAUCACGUCCAGCAGCUCCUCAGCAGCUCGUCCACGUACAGCAAGAUCGCCUCCGGUACCGCGGCUCGUCGUCGGCUCGUCGUGGCUCGUCGGCGGCUCGUCCAAGUGCUGCAGGCGCAACACCUCCAAGGUAUCCACACGUGCAGGGAGGAAGCGUCACAAGCCGGACUGCUAGAUCCACGAGUUGCAACAGGUGAGGGCAUGGGAGGCGCGGCAGGUGUGUUUCGCCAAAAGGUGUAAACCCUAGGGCACCCCCACCCCUCUAUUUAUAGAGGUUCCUGACGGGCCUCUGGAUCCGAGGACCAUUAGUACCUCUAAGCCUAAUCCAACUCGGAUCAGAUCCGAAUUGGGCUUCCAGCCCCUUAAGUGUGUGACCCUAUGGGUUCGGAUACGUAUAGACAUGGCCCGAGUACUCCUACUCGGCCCAAUAGUCCGUAGCGGCCUCUAGCAAGACGUGCCAACUCCUAUACGCACAUGAAGAUCAUAUCAGACGAACCAUCACAACAUAAUAUACAUGCUAUUCCCUUUGCCUCACGAUAUUUGGUCUAGCUUCAAGCCGACCGCUCUUUCUCGAUCCUGUGAUUCGGAAUCCCUUUGUAGGUUAACUCUUAAUCGUACGUAGCAUGGCCAUGCAUUUUUGGAUCCGAUCACUCGAGGGGCCCAGAGAUAUCACUCUCAAUCAGAGAGGGGCAAAUCCCAUCUUGAUUGACCAUGUCUCAUAGCAUGCUUCUUGACAAACCCGAAAGCUACCUUUAUAACUAUCCUAUUACGGCGUAGCGUUUGAUAGCCCCUAAGUAGGUCGAUCCACAUCUAGAAUACAUGUGACAAUCUCAGGUCUAAGGACAAAGCGUAUAUGUUGUUUUAAAGAGAGAACUACUUCUCGUGUUGGGUCAGUCCUAGCACAUGUCUCCACAUGUGUCCACAUUAUUAGUUCAACAUCUCCAUGUCCAUGACUUGUGAAACAUAGUCAUCAACUAAUACAUGUGCUAGUCUAAUAUUCAUGUGUGUCCUCACAUGAACUCCGACUAGGGACAACUUUAGAAUAACCAUACAAGUAAAGAGUUUCACAUACAGUUCACAUAAUUGCAAAUCAAUUCAAGUAGCCUUCAAUGGAUAUUUAAUGAACACAACAUACAAAUCAUGGAUACAAAUGGAAUAUCAUCAUCUCUAUGAUUGCCUCUAGGGCAUACCUCCAACAAUGAUGAGCCUGCAACAUAUGCAGAAGCAAUGAUGGACCCAGACUCCGAAAAAUGGCAGAGUCCCAUGCAAUCCGAAAUAGAGUCCAUGGGAGACAAUCAAGUUUGGAACUUGGUUGACCCACCUGAUGGUGUUAAAGCCAUAGAGUGCAAGUGGAUCUAUAAGAACAAAAAGGACAUGGAUGGAAAUGUUCACAUCUAUAAAGCACGACUUGUCGCAAAAGGUUUUCAACAAGUUCAAGGAGUUGACUACGAUGAGACCUUCUCGCCCAUAGUGAUGCUUAAGUCCAUUCGGAUUAUUCUAGCUAUAGCUGCAUAUUUCGAUUAUGAGAUAUGGCAGAUGGAUGUCAAGACAGCUUUCCUGAAUGGAAACCUAACUGAGGACGUGUAUAUGAUACAGCCCGAGGGUUUUGUCGAUCCGAAAAAUGCUGGAAAGGUAUGCAAGCUUUAGAGAUCCAUUUAUGGAUUGAAGCAAGCAUCUAGGAGUUGGAACAUUCGUUUUGAUGAAGUGGUCAAAGGGUUUGACUUCACCAAGAAUGAAGAAGAGUCUUGUGUUUACAAGAAGGUUAGUGGGAGCUCUGUAGUAUUUCUAAUCUUAUAUGUGGAUGACAUAUUACUGAUUGGAAAUAACAUUCCUAUGCUUGAGUCCGUAAAGACUUCACUGAAAAAUAGUUUUUCGAUGAAGGACUUAGAGGAAGCGGCAUAUAUUCUGGGCAUUAAGAUCUAUAGAGAUAGAUCGAGAAGGCUUAUAGGUUUAAGCCAAGAUACUUACAUUGACAAAGUGUUGAAGCGGUUCAGCAUGGAAGAGGCAAAGAAAGGGUUCUUGCCUAUGUCACAUGGCAUACAUCUCAGCAAGACUCAGUGUCCUUCGACUGCUGAUGAGCGGGAUCACAUGAGUAGAGUACCAUAUGCCUCGGCUAUUGGAUCUAUCAUGUAUGCAAUGAUAAGUACUCGCCCAGAUGUUUCAUAUGCGCUAAGUAUGACAAGCAGACACCAAUCUGAUCCAGGUGAGAGUCACUGGAUAGCGGUGAAAAACAUUCUUAAGUACUUGAGAAGGACUAAAGAUAUGUUCCUCGUCUAUGGAGGUGAGGAGGAGCUCGUUGUAACAGGUUACACCGAUGCUAGUUUCCAAACCGAUAGAGAUGAUUCAAAGUCACAAUCAGGAUUUGUAUUCACACUGAAUGGUGGUGCUGUUAGUUGGAAGAGUUCCAAGCAGGAGACGGUGGCUAAUUUUACGACAGAAGCCGAGUACAUCGCGGCUUCGGAAGCCGCGAAGGAAGGUGUUUGGAUAAGGAAUUUCCUCAUUGAGCUUGGUGUGUUCCCGAAUGCGUCCAGCCCAUUGAAUCUCUACUGUGAUAAUAAUGGGGCAAUUGCGCAAGCAAAGGAGCCAUGGAACCACCAGAAGAACAAACACGUAAUGCGGCGAUUUCAUCUCAUUCGAGACUUCGUUAACCGGGGUGAGAUCAAGAUAUGCAAAAUACACACGGAUCUGAACAUUUCUGAUCCGUUGACAAAACCACUCCCGCAGGCUAAGCAUGAUGCGCAUGUAAGAGCUAUGGGUAUUAGGUACCUUCUAGAUUGACUCUAGUGCAAGUGGGAGACUGUUGGAGGUAUGCCCUAGAGGCAAUCAUAGAGAUGAUGAUAUUCCAUUUGUAUCCAUGAUUUGUAUAUUGUGUUCAUUGAAUAUCCAUUAAAGACUACUUGAAUUGAUUUGCAAUUAUGUGAAUUGUAUGUGAAACUCUUUACUUGUAUGGUUAUUCUAAAGUUGUCCCUAGUCGGAGUUCAUGUGAGGACACACAUGAAUAUUAGACUAGCACAUGUAUUAGUUGAUGACUAUGUUUCACAAGUCAUGGACAUGGAGAUGUUGAACUAAUAAUGUGGACACAUGUGGAGACAUGUGCUAGGACUGACCCAACAUGAGAAGUAGUU
rnacentral:lncRNA from 1 species